CAGGCCUAACACAUGCAAGUCGAACGGUACCACAGAUAGCUUGCUCUCGGGUGACGAGUGGCGGACGGGUGAGUACUGUCUGGGAAACUGCCUGACGGAGGGGGAUAACUAGUGGAAACGGUGGCUAAUACCGCAUAUCGUCGCGAGACCAAAGAGGGGGACCUUCUCGCCUCUCGCCAUCACAUGUGCCCACAUGGGAUUAUCUCCUAGGUGGGGUAGCGGCUCACCUACGCGACCAUCCCUAGGUGGGCUGAGAGGAUGACCCCCCACCCUGGAACUGAGAGACGGUCCACACUCCUACUGGAGGCACCAGUGGGGAAUCUUGCCCAAUGGGCGAAAGCCUGACGCAUCCAUGCCGCAUGGAUGAUGACCGUCUCACGAUCCGCCACCCCUUGCAGCGGGGACGAUAAUGACCGUACCCGCAUACGCCGCCCCGGCUAACUUCGUGCCAGCCGCCGCGGUAAU
rnacentral:rRNA from 1 species